AUGGUUUUAACAACAAGUUUGGUCAUAGAUGAUGUGGAUACAACAUAUAAACAUGGUGAAGAAAUUCAAGACAUAAGUGCAUCAAGCAUGAUGAUUACUUUGAGAUGUUAUGGAAGCUUGAAGUUUGGUUUUGGCAACCUAAAGCACGAAGUUCAUAAGUCUAGAAACUUAGAAUUCUUAUGUUUAGGACCAAAUUCGUAA
rnacentral:lncRNA from 1 species